GACGAACGCUGGCGGCGUGCUUAACACAUGCAAGUCGAACGGAAAGGCCCUGCUUUUGUGGGGUGCUCGAGUGGCGAACGGGUGAGUAACACGUGAGUAACCUGCCCUUGACUUUGGGAUAACUUCAGGAAACUGGGGCUAAUACCGGAUAGGAGCUCCUGCUGCAUGGUGGGGGUUGGAAAGUUUCGGCGGUUGGGGAUGGACUCGCGGCUUAUCAGCUUGUUGGUGGGGUAGUGGCUUACCAAGGCUUUGACGGGUAGCCGGCCUGAGAGGGUGACCGGCCACAUUGGGACUGGGAUACGGCCCAGACUCCUACGGGAGGCAGCAGUGGGGAAUAUUGCACGAUGGUCGGAAGCCUGAUGCAGCAACGCCGCGUGCGGGAUGACGGCCUUCGGGUUGUAAACCGCUUUCGCCUGUGACGAAGCGUGAGUGACGGUAAUGGGUAAAGAAGCACCGGCUAACUACGUG
rnacentral:rRNA from 1 species